GAGGGCAUAGCUCAGUGGUAGAGAGCACGCUUAGCAUGUGCAAGGUCCUGGGUUCAAUCCCCAGUACCUCCA
rnacentral:tRNA from 1 species